rnacentral:rRNA from 1 species
AUGCUUGGAGUUGGACUUGAAGCGGAUGAAUGUUGGGUCCUAAGUCGUGUGUACUACUAUUAUUGCAUGAGGACUGCCAAAUGCAGGAGAGCUUGCCAAGAGCACCAGUUCAUUGACGGGCGUUGCUGGUGGAAGUUUCCUUAUUUGGUGCCCUUGUGUGAGUGCUUGCGCCCAAAAUGCGCUCCUCCGACAGUACUAGAUCCUUAA